GGCCCUGCUUUUGUGGGGUGCUCGAGUGGCGAACGGGUGAGUAACACGUGAGUAACCUGCCCUUGACUUUGGGAUAACUUCAGGAAACUGGGGCUAAUACCGGAUAGGAGCUCCUGCUGCAUGGUGGGGGUUGGAAAGUUUCGGCGGUUGGGGAUGGACUCGCGGCUUAUCAGCUUGUUGGUGGGGUAGUGGCUUACCAAGGCUUUGACGGGUAGCCGGCCUGAGAGGGUGACCGGCCACAUUGGGACUGAGAUACGGCCCAGACUCCUACGGGAGGCAGCAGUGGGGAAUAUUGCACAAUGGGCGGAAGCCUGAUGCAGCAACGCCGCGUGCGGGAUGACGGCCUUCGGGUUGUAAACCGCUUUCGCCUGUGACGAAGCGUGAGUGACGGUAAUGGGUAAAGAAGCACCGGCUAACUACGUGCCAGCAGCCGCGGUGAUACGUAGGGUGCGAGCGUUGUCCGGAUUUAUUGGGCGUAAAGGGCUCGUAGGUGGUUGAUCGCGUCGGAAGUGUAAUCUUGGGGCUUAACCCUGAGCGUGCUUUCGAUACGGGUUGACUUGAGGGAGGUAGGGGAGAAUGGAAUUCCUGGUGGAGCGGUGGAAUGCGCAGAUAUCAGGAGGAACACCAGUGGCGAAG
rnacentral:rRNA from 1 species